rnacentral:lncRNA from 1 species
UUUUUGAAAACUCAUAGAUAUGAUUUUGCAAAGGGUGCACCAAAGAUAUGGUUUAUAUUGAAUAUUUUGGCAACAUAACGAUCCCAUUGGGUUCCAUUUGUAGAGAAGGAGUGGUGUAAGGGGCUCCUUCCACUGAAUGCCCUACUUUUUGUCUUUCUUCUUUUCUCUGCCCUUCUUCUUCCUUCAACAUGUACUCUAAAGUUGUCCCCUUGAGUUAUAAAAGUGGGGCCUUGGGACCCUUAGAGGACACAAUCACCAAACUCCAUAGUUCGACAGCGAACACACACCCACACCUGCACACACCAUAG